rnacentral:lncRNA from 1 species
CAUGCUGUUCUUUCCUCCUUGGCGGCUCUGGCUGUGGUAGGGCCCUCGAUCGAUCCUCCGUACCUUCAGGCCGACGUCGGAUGAAUCUGUCGAGCUGACCUCAUUUGAUGAGCUCUUCGAUCUCGUCUUGAAGCUGAAUACACUCCUCCGUAUCAUGGCCGUGGUCACGAUGAUAGAGGUAGAACUUGCUAGGGUUAUACUUUUUGAGGUGUGUGCGCAUCCUUUCUGGCCUCAGUAGCUGCUCCCUGACCUCC